GACCAGACUCCUACGGGAGGCAGCAGUGGGGAAUAUUGCACAAUGGGGGAAACCCUGAUGCAGCGACGCCGCGUGAGCGAUGAAGUAUUUCGGUAUGUAAAGCUCUAUCAGCAGGGAAGAAAAUGACGGUACCUGACUAAGAAGCCCCGGCUAACUACGUGCCAGCAGCCGCGGUAAUACGUAGGGGGCAAGCGUUAUCCGGAUUUACUGGGUGUAAAGGGGGCGCAGACGGCGAUGCAAGCCAGGAGUGAAAGCCCGGGGCCCAACCCCGGGACUGCGCUUGGAACUGCGUGGCUGGAGUGCAGGAGGGGCAGGCGGAAUUCCUGGUGUAGCGGUGAAAUGCGUAGAUAUCAGGAGGAACACCGGUGGCGAAGGCGGCCUGCUGGACUGCAACUGACGUUGAGGCCCGAAAGCGUGGGGAGCAAACAGGAUUAGAUACCCCCGUACC
rnacentral:rRNA from 1 species